GAUCCCGUAGCUCAGUUGGUUAGAGCGCUGGUCUUAUAAGCCAGAGGUCCGGAGUUCGAAUCUCCGCGGGAUCA
rnacentral:tRNA from 1 species